rnacentral:rRNA from 1 species
GCAAUACCUAGUGGCGGACGGGUGAGUAACGCGUGGGAAUCUGCCCAAGGGUGGGGGAUAGCAGACCGAAAGGUCUAUUAAUACCGCAUAUGCCGUGAGGUAAAAGGAGUAAUCCGCCCCUGGAUGAGCCUGCGUCCGAUUAGCUAGUUGGUAGGGUAAAAGCCUACCAAGGCUACGAUCGGUAGCUGGUCUGAGAGGAUGAUCAGCCACAAUGGGACUGAGACACGGCCCAUACUCCUACGGGAGGCAGCAGUGGGGAAUUUUACGCAAUGGGGGAAACCCUGACGUAGCGACACCGCGUGAGCGAAGAAGCCCUUUGGGGUGUAAAGCUCUGUCAGCAGGAACGAAUAAAUGACGGUACCUGCAGAGGAAGCAUCGGCUAACUACGUGCCAGCAGCCGCGGUAAGACGUAGGAUGCGAGCGUUGUCCGGAUUCAUUGGGCGUAAAGAGUUCGUAGGCGGUUUGUUAAGUCUGAUGUUAAAGAUCGGGGCUCAACCCUGGGAGUGCAUUGGAUACUGGCAGACUGGAGUGCAGUAGAGGCGAGUGGAAUUCCCAGUGUAGCGGUGAAAUGCGUAGAUAUUGGGAAGAACACCGGUGGCGCAGGCGACUCGCUGGGCUGUAACUGACGCUGAGGAACGAAAGCUAGGGGAGCAAAUGGGAUUAGAUACCCCAGUAGUCCUAGCUGUAAACGAUGGAUACUAGGCGUUGCAGGUAUCGACCCCUGCAGUGCCGCAGUUAACGCGAUAAGUAUCCCGCCUGAGUAGUACGGCCGCAAGGUUGA